AUGCUGAGCUGCUGCAGGCGUGACGCGGAGAGGUUGGCGGCGGGCGGGAGGGCGAGCGCGGCGGUUUUGGCGGGGUUCUUGAAGCAGUCGACGAGGAAGAGCGACUGGAGGUGGGGCAGCGCGGAGAAGGCGUGGGUCGGGAACGCGGCGACCUCCCUGCAGGCCGGGUUGGGCGGCACGCCGAAGUCGAGCCGGGUGACGCGCAUCAGCCGCUUGUCGGCGGCGUCGGGCUUGCACUCGAGCCCCGGCCAGGGCGCGGCGCAGGGGUCGGUGCCCGAGGAGGAGCGCCAGUCGCGGUCGGAGGAGACGGCCUCCAUGACCCGCAGCAGCGCCUCCCGCUCGGCCGGGUCCAUGGCGGCGCCGGCCACGGCGAGGAGGGAGCAGAGGAGGAGCGCGACGGCGGUAGCCGGCAUGGUGCCGCGCGUGUGGGUGCUGGCUGGCUGGGUGGCUGCGUCUGCGGCCCGGGCCGGGGGAUGUCGCUUUUUGACGUCGUCUCGUCCGUCCAUGGUGGCGUCGGUUUGUAUAUUGAUUGAGCUAUGGGAGUGA
rnacentral:rRNA from 1 species